rnacentral:lncRNA from 1 species
GGACUAUGUUAAGUGGACUAUGAAAUUAGGCUUAAAAAUCUAAUUUGGCAUUUAAAGGACAAAGAUCAUAUCACAGGGAACAUGUGUUCUCAGUUUCAAGUUGAUUGAACUUCAAAUUCAUCAAAAACUGCCUUGUCCAAAAACUUUAACGGAAAAAAAAAAGCGGAACGGAGGCACGAACAAACCAACGAACCGAACCCACAGACCAGAAAACAUAAUUACCCUCUACGUUCGUAGGUGAUGCAUAAAACAAAAUAAGUAUGUCUAAUAACCCAUACUGUGGAUUCAUUAUUAUUUGUUGGAUACCAAUUUUCUUGGAUUUCAAGGGCACAGGCAAGAAUGUCAAAUUUUCCUAUAUAGGCUUGUAUGCAAACUUUGGAAAAACCAUGAAAUUAUGAAUACAAGAACAUGCAAGUUGAUGAAGUUGAAGUCAAAUCAACUUGAAACUUAGUACACAUGUUCCUUGUGAUAUGAUCUUUCUAAUUUAAAUGCCAAAUUAGAUUUUUGUCCCAAUUUCACAGUCCACUGAACAUAGAAAAUGAUAGUGUGAGUGAGGCGAGGCAUCCAUGUACUAAUAUAAUGACACAUUCUUGUUCUUAAUGUUAACUCAACUCCUAUCUGUUAUGAGUCAAAUUUUGAUGUGUCCUAUCCAUAUCAUUGAAUGAUGAUGCAGUGCAUUGUUGGUAAAUCUUAAUUCUAUAUUUGUUAAUUAUUUGUUGUUAUUUAAUACCAUAUUGUAUAUGAAGAUAGUAUUUAUAAAUAAAUAAAAUUGUGAUUUUUAUUGGUAUCAAAAAAUUCUCAUAUUGUGCAUGUUAUCAGUUUUCUUUUAACUUUCUGCAAAUAACAGGUUGUUAAACUCCAUAUUUUGGUAAUAAUAGGCGUGCAGAAUACAUGGUUUGUCUGACUAACUGCUCCUA